GACGAACGCUGGCGGCGCGCCUAACACAUGCCAGUCGAACGAGCGAGAGAGAGCUUGCUUUCUCGAGCGAGUGGCGAACGGGUGAGUAACGCGUGAGGAACCUGCCUCUAAGAGGGGGACAACAGUUGGAAACGACUGCUAAUACCGCAUAAGCCCACGGCUCGCCCUCGAGCCGGGGGAAAAGGAGCAAUCCGCUUUGAGAUGGCCUCGCGUCCGAUUAGCUUGUUGGUGUGGUAACGGCCCACCAAGGCAACGAUCGGUAGACGGACUGAGAGGUUGAACGGACACACUGGGACUGAGACACGGCCCAGACUCCUACGCGAGGCAGCAGUGGGGAAUAUUGCACAAUGGGGGGAAUCAUGAUGCAGCGACGCCGGGUGGAGGAAGAAGGUCUUCGGAUUGUAAAGUCCUGUUGUUGGGGAAGAUAAUGACGGUACCCAACAAGGAAGUGACGGCUAACUACGUG
rnacentral:rRNA from 1 species